AAAGUCGUAACAAGGUUUCCGUAGGUGAACCUGCGGAAGGAUCAUUAAUGAAUUACUAGAGCUACCCUUCGGGGAGCUCGAACUCUUCAUCCUUCUACACUGUGCACAUAUAAAAACUGGCCUUCGGGCCAAUCACCUUCAAACAUCCAGUCUUUGAAUGCCUUUACUAUAAACUAAGAAAAACUUUCAACAACGGAUCUCUUGGCUCUC
rnacentral:misc_RNA from 1 species